rnacentral:rRNA from 1 species
AGAGGGUGACCGGCCACACUGGGACUGAGACACGGCCCAGACUCCUACGGGAGGCAGCAGUGGGGAAUAUUGCACAAUGGGCGCAAGCCUGAUGCAGCAACGCCGCGUGAGGGACGACGGCCUUCGGGUUGUAAACCUCUUUUAGCAGGGAAGAAGCGAAAGUGACGGUACCUGCAGAAAAAGCGCCGGCUAACUACGUGCCAGCAGCCGCGGUAAUACGUAGGGCGCAAGCGUUAUCCGGAAUUAUUGGGCGUAAAGAGCUCGUAGGCGGUUUGUCGCGUCUGCUGUGAAAUCCGGAGGCUCAACCUCCGGCCUGCAGUGGGUACGGGCAGACUAGAGUGCGGUAGGGGAGAUUGGAAUUCCUGGUGUAGCGGUGGAAUGCGCAGAUAUCAGGAGGAACACCGAUGGCGAAGGCAGAUCUCUGGGCCGUAACUGACGCUGAGGAGCGAAAGGGUGGGGAGCAAACAGGCUUAGAUACCCUGGUAGUCCACCCCGUAAACGUUGGGAACUAGUUGUGGGGUCCAUUCCACGGAUUCCGUGACGCAGCUAACGCAUUAAGUUCCCCGCCUGGGGAGUACGGCCGCAAGGCUAAAACUCAAAGGAAUUGACGGGGACCCGCACAAGCGGCGGAGCAUGCGGAUUAAUUCGAUGCAACGCGAAGAACCUUACCAAGGCUUGACAUAUACGAGAACGGGCCAGAAAUGGUCAACUCUUUGGACACUCGUAAACAGGUGGUGCAUGG